rnacentral:rRNA from 1 species
CACUGUGGUAUUCGCCCUUCGUACGGGUGGCUGCAGUGGGGAAUAUUGCACAAUGGGCGCAAGCCUGAUGCAGCCAUGCCGCGUGUAUGAAGAAGGCCUUCGGGUUGUAAAGUACUUUCAGCGAGGAGGAAGGCAUUGUGGUUAAUAACCACAGUGAUUGACGUUACUCGCAGAAGAAGCACCGGCUAACUCCGUGCCAGCAGCCGCGGUAAUACGGAGGGUGCAAGCGUUAAUCGGAAUUACUGGGCGUAAAGCGCACGCAGGCGGUCUGUCAAGUCGGAUGUGAAAUCCCCGGGCUCAACCUGGGAACUGCAUUCGAAACUGGCAGGCUAGAGUCUUGUAGAGGGGGGUAGAAUUCCAGGUGUAGCGGUGAAAUGCGUAGAGAUCUGGAGGAAUACCGGUGGCGAAGGCGGCCCCCUGGACAAAGACUGACGCUCAGGUGCGAAAGCGUGGGGAGCAAACAGGAUUAGAUACCCUAGUAGUCAAGGGCGAAUUCCACAUUGGG